AUUGAACGCUGGCGGCAGGCCUAACACAUGCAAGUCGAGCGAGCGGCGGACGGGUGAGUAAUGGUUGGGAAACUGCCUGAUGGAGUGGGAUAACUCCUGGCAACGGUAGCUAAUACCGCAUACCAUCAGAAGUGGCCAGAUGGGAAUGGCUAGUAGGUGGGGUAACGGCGCACAUAGGCGACGAACCCUAGCUGGUCUGAGAGGAUGACCAGACACCGUGGAACUGAGACACGGUCCAGACUCCUACGUGAGGCAGCAGUGGGGAAUAUUGCACAAUGGGCGCAAGCCUGAUGCAGCCAUGCCGCGUGUGUGAAGAAGGCCUUCGGGUUGUAAAGCACUUUCAGCGGGGAGGCGUUACCCGCAGAAGAAGCACCGACUAACUCCGUGCCAGCCGCCGCGGUAAUAC
rnacentral:rRNA from 1 species